rnacentral:rRNA from 1 species
UCCCUAGCUUGCUGGGGGGAUUAGUGGCGAACGGGUGAGUAACACGUGAGUAACCUGCCCUUGACUCUGGGAUAAGCCUGGGAAACUGGGUCUAAUACUGGAUACGACCUUCCAUCGCAUGGUGGUUGGUGGAAAGCUUUUGUGGUUUUGGAUGGACUCGCGGCCUAUCAGCUUGUUGGUGGGGUAAUGGCCUACCAAGGCGACGACGGGUAGCCGGCCUGAGAGGGUGGACGGCCACACUGGGACUGAGACACGGCCCAGACUCCUACGGGAGGCAGCAGUGGGGAAUAUUGCACAAUGGGCGCAAGCCUGAUGCAGCGACGCCGCGUGAGGGAUGAAGGCCUUCGGGUUGUAAACCUCUUUCAGUAGGGAAGAAGCGAAAGUGACGGUACCUGCAGAAGAAGCGCCGGCUAACUACGUGCCAGCAGCCGCGGUAAUACGUAGGGCGCAAGCGUUAUCCGGAAUUAUUGGGCGUAAAGAGCUCGUAGGCGGUUUGUCGCGUCUGCCGUGAAAGUCCGGGGCUUAACUCCGGAUCUGCGGUGGGUACGGGCAGACUUGAGUGAUGUAGGGGAGACUGGAAUUCCUGGUGUAGCGGUGAAAUGCGCAGAUAUCAGGAGGAACACCGAUGGCGAAGGCAGGUCUCUGGGCAUUAACUGACGCUGAGGAGCGAAAGCAUGGG